rnacentral:lncRNA from 1 species
AUGGUGGUAGAGAUGCCACAAGAAGAGAAAGGGUCCUGGGGUUCUUCACUAUCAGAACCUUCAUGCAGCCAGAGUGUGGGGAAAGUGCUCCCCUCCCACUUUCCUCAAAGGAAAUCAAUGGAGGGAGAACAACUUGAUGCAAAGAAGUGAAGAAAGAGGAAGAGAGAAGACCAGGUAAAACCAGAAGAUAUAAAGAUAUGGCAGCUAAAUGGAAAGACCCCUCACUUCUCCUUAGAAACAUCAAGGGGUCAAUGGAAAUGUCAUUAGCAUGACCCCCAAAUGAACAAGAAAUAUUUUAAUAGUUGAUUGGUUCUUCUGCAUUGUGUGUUCCUAUGAUGAAGAUAAAAGAUCAUAAUGAAGAUAAUUAGAGAUAUUUAUUGAAACAGAAAAAUUCAAAGAAAAUUUAAGAUUUUCACUAGCCAAAAUAUAAUUUCCUGAGCACUUAAGAAUUAGUGCUGGACUGUUGGUGGAGUUGUGAAUGAUCCAACCAUUCUGGAGGACAAUUUGGAACUGUAAAAGUUAAAAUUAAAUCUCAAUAAUAAGAAUAUUAUAUUUAGGAGAUUUAUUAGGGAUCAUUAGAAAUAAAGGAAUAAAAU